rnacentral:rRNA from 1 species
AUUGAACGCUGGCGGCAGGCCUAACACAUGCAAGUCGAACGAGUGGCGGACGGGUGAGUAAUGUCUGGGAAACUGCCUGAUGGAGGGGGAUAACUACUGGAAACGGUAGCUAAUACCGCAUACCAUCAGAUGUGCCCAGAUGGGAUUAGCUAGUUGGUGGGGUAACGGCUCACCUAGGCGACGAUCCCUAGCUGGUCUGAGAGGAUGACCAGCCACACUGGAACUGAGAAACGGGCCAGAACCCCAAGGGUGGGAGCAGUGGGGAAUAUUGCACAAUGGGCGCAAACCUGAGGCAGCCAUGCCGGGUGUAUGAAGAAGGCCUUCGGGUUUGAAAGUACUUUCAGCGAGGAGGCGUUACUCGCAGAAGAAGCACCGGCUAACUCCGUGCCAGCCGCCGCGGUAAUUC